GUGCUCGCUUUGGCAGCACAUAUACUAAAACAAUUGGAACGAUGCAGAGAAGAUUAACAUGGCUGCGAUGCAACGAUGACACAAAUUCGUGAAGCGUUCCAUAUUUUU